rnacentral:lncRNA from 1 species
AUGGGUGGCACGGUCCUGGGACACUCGGACAUGCUUCUCUUCUUCCCAGCAAGAGCCGUCCAGAGCGUUGUGGAAAGAAGCUGUAAUAGGACAGAGCCAAAUUUCUGCCACACUGGUAGCACCUCUCGGGGGCCCCGAUGUGCCGAGUGCUGCGGAGACACAGAGCGGGAGCUCGGGAGCUGUCGCCAUCUAAAUAGACAAAAGGUGAGCAGGGAAAUAGAGGGGAAGGGACUUGUUCCAGGUCACGCAGCAGUUCAGUGGCAGAAACCCCGCAGCCUGACUACCGAGCCAGUGUCGCUACCCACUGGGCCACACUGCCUCUUCCCCAGCCUGUCUCCCCGCUCUUGCUUUCCGCUUGCUCAGGGUCCGAGUCCCUCCUUCGCGGAGGAGCCUGCGCUUCAGCUCCGAGGUGAAGGUGGACAUGGUGCGGAGGCCCCGGGGUCUGAGCCGUUCCCCUGCGCGCCAUGAGAUGAGCCCCCCAGGCCCGGAGCUCUAGUUGUCCAGCGCCAGGCCCCGACCAUGAAUAACAAGGAAACCACAGAGCUCUCCGGUUAGUCCGUGUGGGGUGGGACCCCCACCAGCCCCCACUCCUGUCCCAGAGCCGGGGAGAGAACCCAGGCGUCCUGGCUCCCAGCCCCCC